rnacentral:rRNA from 1 species
UACAGAGGGGGCAAGCGUUGUUCGGAAUUACUGGGCGUAAAGGGCGCGUAGGCGGACCUGCAAGUCGGGGGUGAAAUCCUGGAGCUCAACUCCAGAACUGCCUUUGAUACUGGCGAUCUCGAGUCCGGGAGAGGUGAGUGGAACUGCGAGUGUAGAGGUGAAAUUCGUAGAUAUUCGCAAGAACACCAGUGGCGAAGGCGGCUCACUGGCCCGGUACUGACGCUGAGGCACGAAAGCGUGGGGAGCAAACAGGG